GAUAUGCUUGCUGAUAACUGCCAGCUUUUAGCAUGUGCAAGUUAAAGUGCCUCUUCCUAACUACGAUAGCAGAUUAAACUGUUCCUAAUAAACGUUGUUCUAGAGCUUCCUGAAACCGGACACAGAAAACAGGUCUUAGGGUCCACCAGGGACAGUUCCCAUGAUUGCUGGCAUACAACACUGCAGCAGUGGCUGAAAGUAGUGUCAAAUCAGUAACAAAUCCAACUCUUUGAUAUUAUCAUCUUACUGCUACAGAUUACUUGGAAAAUAUGCCAAAGAUAGAGAAAAAGUAACUGAUAACGAUCACAUUCCAAACCAUAGCAAUCACCAACCUGAAUUUCCACAUUACCCAAGCGUUUUUGUGUCAAAGUGGUACCAAUCUAAAACUCACACAGAUACUUACCAUCACCUUCUAUAACACGAUUGCAGUGGAAGCAAACAUCACCAAAUAGCUGAAAAUUAAAAAAGGUGGUCAAAGUUCAAGAUGUGUUAGAAAUUUUAGAACACUGAACAUUUAAAAAUAGCUGGCUAUCUAAAUUGAGGAUUUAUCACUAGAAAAAAUUAGUAAAAGUCCUUUGACAAGUUUUUACUUCUUACAAUGAAAGUAAUUCACUCUCAUCAAUUAAAAGAAAAACUUUCAGGCUGACAGUUUGAACACCCAAAUAAGUGAUGCAAAAUAUAGAAAUCUGUGAGUCCAUAUGGAUAAGAAAUAGUUAAAUGAAUAAACCUAUAGACGGGAGAGGAGGUGGGCUCUUGCUCAGGCAGAGCGCUGAGGACCAGACUAUGGGUGGAGGGCAUGGAGCUGCAGAAGUGUCGUUUGCAGCUGGCGCAGAGACAAGAAUCAUCAAGGGGUGCUAAAUCUAGGGCAGGCUGAUGAGGAACAGGACAUUUCCAUGGGCAUAAAAUGAUUGCCCACAGAUUGCUUCUUUCUUACAAAGGAGGGAAGGAAAUUGUAAUUCGUAGUGAUGUUAUCAGCCAGCACCAUGCCUGGGAGAUCACCAGUGCAGGAGAGGUAUAAAAUGCUCCAGGGGCAAGGUUCUGCGAGGAUGCCCUGCCACUGUAUGCGGCCGUAACCUGCUGUGUAUAACCUCAUCUAAGCAUAGAGAAGCAGCAGGUGAACCCAAGUGGAAAGUAGUCUAUUAAAAGGUGGUAGGGGCCCUCUGCAUCCCUCCAAAAUGUCAAUGUCAUCAAAAAUUUUAAAAGGAUCUGGAAAUGUUCCAGAUUUAAGAAGGCUAAAGAAACAUCACAGCCCUAGGCUGGGUCCAGUCUGGGAGUGGAAAAAAUGCUGUGAGGAUAUUAUUGACUCAAGCGACAAAACUGGAAUAAAUGGGUUAAAGUACGGUAUCAAUAUUGAUAACUACAAUUAUGUUAGAGAGUCCCAUAUUCUUGGGAAAUAUACACUGAAGUAUUUAGGGGUAAAGGAGUAUGACGAACUUAUUGGCAAAUGCUUUAGAAACAGCCAUCGUACUUGUAUAUAAUAUUUACGUAAGUAUGUGUUUUACACAGGAAGACUGAGCGUGGGAAAUGAUAAAGCAAACUGUGGACUUGAAUGAAAGGCAUACAGAACAUUCGACUUCGUUUCUUCAAUCUCUGGAAACCUAGCAGAGGUAUUAGCAACCAGUGAAGUGGCCAACAUGCAAGCAAGUCCAUCACUUAUGUGCCGUGCAAGCAACUCUUAAGCAUCCCUAAGCAUCUGAAGCACCUCACUGAUGUCUUCCCUGCCUCUUUCCUGGCAAAACCAAAAGCAAGUAGAUAAAGGUUGUGUUAACACAGGAAAAGAACACUCCCAAACACCACCUGAUAGGAGUCCUAGUUCAUCCCAAAAUACCUCUACCUUAAAUGUCCUUAAAAAUCAAUUAUCUCUAGGUUUUGAUACUCCUCCAGCUUGUUAUAUAUUAACAAUAGCGAAGAGGAGUGAUGAAGUUUCCAACAGUUAUUCAUAAUGAGCACUAAAAACCAUUUUUACCAUCGAUACUUCACCAGUGUGAAAUGACUCAAGUAAUUUGGAAACUUACCUUUUUUUCCCCCAAGAUGGAGUUUUGCUCUGUCGCCCAGGCUGGAGUAAAGUGGUGUAAUCUCGGCUCACUGCAACCUCUGCCCCCUGGGUUCAAGCUAUUCUCCUGCCUCAGCCUCUUGAAUAACUGGGAUUACCGGCACCUGCCACCAUGCCCAGCUAAUUUUCGUAUUUUUAGUAGAGACAGGGUUUCCCGAUGUUGGCCAGGCUGGUCUCAAACUCCUGACCUCAGGUGAUCCUCCUCCCUCCGCCUCCCAAAGUGCUAGGAUUACAGGUGUGAGCCACCGUGCCUGGCUGGAAACUUACUUUUUACCUGACAUUUAGCAGUAAAACUUACCACACUGAUGACAGCAAGGGGCAAAGAGCAUCUGAAAGUCAUGUUCACAGUACUUUCUUCCUUCAAACUGAAAGAGAGGGUACCACCAACUUACAAACACGAAACAAUCACAGGAGAAAUAUAAUUAUUUGAUGAAGAUAUACAGGAAAGAUGUUUCUAAACUAAGAGUUCUACUCUAAGAAUUUAUAAUUCUACUGGGAUUUUAAAAAGCAGAUACUCUUUUGCACCAUCCAUACAUCUACAUGUUGGUACAGCAAAGACAUACGGAAUAAGUAGAGGCUAGAGUGAACAGUACACCUACAGGGACUGGUGACCUGGCCUGACUGUGUUGAAUUGUUUUCUGGCUCAAAUACCCUGCCUUUAAUGAAUCUGAUGAAAGCUAUGGAUCACCUCUCCCUCCAGAAAAUAUGCACAUACAUACAACUCACCUCCCACAUUUUUCAGGUCGAUAUCUAUAAUUCUCACGUAACCUCAAAUAUUUACAAAGGGCAAAUAUUCUAGCACAUUGUAUUUUAUUAUUUUUUUAAAUGGGAGUCUUGCUAUGUUGCCUAGGCUAGUUCUUGGACUCCUGGCCCAAAGCAAUCCUCCUACCUCAGUCUCUCAAAGCACUGGGACCACAGGCGUGAGCCAGUAUGCUCAGCCCUAGCACAUUUUAAAAUGACCAAAAUCCAUUGAAAAACAUUCUUUUAACAGCCAAGAUUUUUACAUCUUUCAUUUCUUGAACUGUUUUCAUUUUAUGUGCUCCAAUUGUAUUGUAGUAUAUUUUUUGUACUUGUCUUUAGCUGAUCACCCUAUCAUACUUUUCUGCAAUUAAAAAAUAUAUGUAACAUGAAAUUUUAAAAUAUGCUUUCUGAAUCCAUAAGGCUGUAAAGGUUAACAUUUAUUUUCUUCUGUAUUAUCAUUAGAAUGAUUAGUAUAAGACAAGCAAGACAUAAAUAUUAAUUUUUUAAUACUAUCUGUUUACUUGAAAAGCAUAUCUUAGUGACAGUGAAAUGAGUAGGGCUGCCUUUUCCUCCCACAAUUAUUUCAUGUAUCUCAUGCAUCAAUAUGGCUUUCCACUAGAAGAUUCAGGUUCAAUAUUAAUUCUAGGUCUAUUUUCUAUUUUGGGUGUUGCCUUUUUUUUAAAUAUAGAAAUGCUAAGAAGCCUUUUUCACAUUACUAAGUCAUGAGAAAUGUUAUAGUUAUGUCUCCCCUUGAGUCUUUGAGCUACUUACAAGUUAUAUGCCAAAAGUCAUACACUGUUUGAUUAUCAAAAUCCAUUUUUAAUGAUAUCCAUUUUUAAUGUAUCAGUUGUCAACCCAGUUUCCUCAAAUUAUGGCUAUAGACUUAGUUCAUCCAAUUUAGUGAACGUAUCUACCAUAGCUUAACUGACAAAGUCAGUUCUUACUGUUGAACCAACCAAAGCAGAUUUUCUCCUAGAAAAAUAACUUUUUUUUUUCCCAGAGUCUCACUCUGUUGCCCAGUCUGGAGUGCAAUGGUACAGUCUUGGCUCACUGUAACCUCUGCCUCUUGGGUUCAAGCGAUUCUCCUGCCUCAGCCUCCUGAGUAGCUGGGAUUACAGGCACCCGCCACCAUGUCCAGCUAAUUUUUGUAUUUUUAGUACAGAUGGGGUUUCACCAUGUUGGGCAGGCUGGUCUCGAACUCCUGACCUCAAGUGAUCCUCCCGCCUCUGGCCUCCCAAAGUGCUGGGAUUACAGGUAUGAGCUACUGUGUCCAGCUUUCACUUUUUAAUUCAAAUGAAUAAGCUGUAAUAUGUUUAAUGCAUCUUUUUGUUUUUAGACUAGGUCUUGCUAUGUUGUUCAGGCUUGUCUUGAACGCUUGGGCUCAAGUGAUCCUUCUACAUCAGCCUCUUGAGUAGCUGGGAUUACAGGCACACACUACCUUGCCCAGAUUAAUGUAUUUGGUUUUUAAAGUUUGUUAACAGAAGAGAAUAAAUUGAUAUGCUAUUACUCAACACUGUGCCAUACUACAUUAUAAUGUGCAGCCAAAAGUACAAGUAUUUAUGAAGCGUGAUAUAUUUCUGAUGAAUGUAUGCCAUCUAUAUGUAUAAAAAUCUGAUGUUUAGCUUUUAGCAGUAAUUAAUGGAACCACCAUAUGAUCCAGCAAUCUCACUACUGGGAAUAUAUCCAAAGGAAAUGGAAUCAGUAUGUGGAAGAGAUAUCUGCACUCUCAUGUUUACUGCAGCACUAUUCACAAUAGCCAAUAUUUAGAAGCAACCUAACUGUCCAUCAGCAGAUGAAUGGAUUAAAAAAAUAUGGUACAUAUACCCAGCGAGUACUCUUUGGCUAUAAAAAAGAAUGAGAUCCUGUCAUCUGUGGCGACAUGGAUGAACCUGUAGGACAUUACAUUAAGUGAAAUAAGCACAGAAGGACAAAUACUACAUCAUCUCACUCAUAUGUGGAAUCUAAAGAGGUUGAUUUCAUAGAAAUAGUAAAAUAGAGGUUGCCAGAGGCUGGGGAGAAUGGAGUGGAGGGGAUGGGGAGAAGAUGGUCAAUGGGUGCAAAGUUACAGUUAGGACGAAUAAGUUCUAGUGUUCUAUUGAACAGUAGGGUGACUUUGGUUAAUAAUAUAUUGCAUUUCAAAAUAUUUCAAAAUAGCUAUUUCAAAAUAGCUAGAAAAGGGGUAUUUUAAAUGUUCUUAUGACAAAGAAAUUAUAAAUGUAUGAGGUGAUGGAUAUGUUAAAUACUCUGAUUUGAUUUUUAUACAAUGUAUACAUGUAUUGAAACAUCACACUGUGCCCCAUGUGUGUAAUUAUUAUGUCAAUUAGAAACAAAAAAACAAAAUGAACAGCCUUUUGUAUCUGCUGCGUCUGCAUCCUUGGAUUCAGUCAACCAAGGAUAAAAAAAUAUGUGGAGGAAAAAACCCCAAACAAUAAAAAAUACCAAUAGAAAAAUAAAAAUAAUACAAAUUUAAAAA